UACGGGGGGGGCAAGCGUUGUUCGGAAUUACUGGGCGUAAAGGGCUCGUAGGCGGCCAACUAAGUCACACGUGAAAUCCCCAGGCUUAACCUGGGAACUGCGUGUGAUACUGGAUGGCUUGAAUCCGGGAGAGGGAUGCGGAAUUCCAGGUGUAGCGGUGAAAUGCGUAGAUAUCAGGAGGAACACCGGUGGCGAAGGCGGCUAUCUGGACGGUCACUGACGCUGAGAUGCGAAAGCGUGGGGAGCAAACAGG
rnacentral:rRNA from 1 species